CAGCUGCUUCUCUUUCCUAUGAGGGCAUUAUAGCCCCGGCUUGCCUCCCAGGUGAAACCUGGUCCAUGUGAGACGUGGGUGGGCUUCCAGCUUCCAACAGUCUGGUGCUUGGGCCAGGGACUUGAAGAAUGGCCGAAAAAUGCUGGAGGAAUGCUGCUUGGUGUGGAGCUCCACGGGAAGAAAAAGAAAAGGAUCGUAUUGGGCACCGAAGCAACAGNNNNCACCUGUGUGUUAUAGAUUAUUUCCUAUUGUAAGAAGUUGCUUCAAAAUUUUGGUACUUCUUUCCACUGGUCCUGUAUUUAUAGAAACAAGAAGGCAAUGAGUAUACAAACCAACAAACAUCUUCUCAAACUCCUCCAGAAUC
ensembl:lincRNA Gm6639 predicted gene 6639